rnacentral:rRNA from 1 species
CCUACGGGAGGCAGCAGUGAGGAAUAUUGGACAAUGGGCUUACGCCUGAACCAGCCAAGUCGCGUGAGGGAAGACUGCCCUAUGGGUUGUAAACCUCUUUUGUCAGGGAGCAACACCGGCUACGUGUAGCCGGACUGAGAGUACCUGAAGAAAAAGCGUCGGCUAACUCCGUGCCAGCAGCCGCGGUACUACGGAGGAUGCGAGCGUUAUCCGGAUCUAUUGGGUUUAAAGGGUGCGUAGGCGGAAUGCCAAGUCAGCGGUAAAAUCGCGGGGCCCAACCUCGCUCCGCCGUUGAAACUGGCGUUCUGGAGUGGGCGAGAAGUAUGCGGAAUGCGUGGUGUAGCGGUGAAAUGCAUAGAUAUCACGAAGAACUCCGAUUGCGAAGGCAGCAUACCGGCGCCCAACUGACGCUGAAGCACGAAAGCGUGGGUAUCGAACAGGAUUAGAUACCCCGGUAGUC